rnacentral:rRNA from 1 species
AUUGAACGCUGGCGGAAUGCUUUACACAUGCAAGUCGAACGGCAGCACGGACUUCGGUCUGGUGGCGAGUGGCGAACGGGUGAGUAAUACAUCGGAACGUGCCCAGUCGUGGGGGAUAACGUAGCGAAAGCUACGCUAAUACCGCAUACGAUCUACGGAUGAAAGCGGGGGAUCGCGAGACCUCGCGCGAUUGGAGCGGCCGGUGGCAGAUUAGGUAGUUGGUGGGGUAAAGGCUCACCAAGCCGACGAUCUGUAGCUGGUCUGAGAGGACGACCAGCCAAACUGGGACUGAGACACGGCCCAGACUCCUACGGGAGGCAGCAGUGGGGAAUUUUGGACAAUGGGCGCAAGCCUGAUCCAGCCAUUCCGCGUGCAGGAUGAAGGCCCUCGGGUUGUAAACUGCUUUUGUACGGAACGAAAAGGCUCUGGUUAAUACCCGGGGCUCAUGACGGUACCGUAAGAAUAAGCACCGGCUAACUACGUGCCAGCCGCCGCGGUAAGAC